rnacentral:rRNA from 1 species
CCUACGGGAGGCAGCAGUGGGGAAUAUUGCACAAUGGGGGAAACCCUGAUGCAGCGACGCCGCGUGAGUGAAGAAGUAAUUCGUUAUGUAAGGCUCUAUCAGCAGGGAAGAAAAUGACGGUACCUGAGUAAGAAGUCCCGGCUAACUACGUGCCAGCAGCCGCGGUAAUACGUAGGGGGCAAGCGUUAUCCGGAUUUACUGGGUGGAAAGGGAGCGUAGACGGCAGUGCAAGUCUGGAGUGAAAGGCGGGGGCUCAACCCCCGGACUGCUCUGGAAACUGUACGGCUGGAGUGCAGGAGAGGUAAGUGGAAUUCCUAGUGUAGCGGUGAAAUGCGUAGAUAUUAGGAGGAACACCAGUGGCGAAGGCGGCUUACUGGACUGUAACUGACGUUGAGGCUCGAAAGCGUGGGGAGCAAACAGGAUUAGAUACCCUUGUAGUC